rnacentral:rRNA from 1 species
UACGUAGGGUGCGAGCGUUAAUCGGGAUUACUGGGCGUAAAGCGUGCGCAGGCGGUGAUGUAAGACCGAUGUGAAAUCCCCGGGCUUAACCUGGGAACUGCAUUGGUGACUGCAUUGCUGGAGUAUGGCAGAGGGGGGUGGAAUUCCACGUGUAGCAGUGAAAUGCGUAGAGAUGUGGAGGAACACCGAUGGCGAAGGCAGCCCCCUGGGCCAAUACUGACGCUCAUGCACGAAAGCGUGGGGAGCAAACAGG